rnacentral:rRNA from 1 species
UACAGAGGUGGCAAGCGUUGUUCGGAAUUACUGGGCGUAAAGGGCGAGUAGGCGGCCUUCUAAGUCAGACGUGAAAUCCCCCGGCUUAACCUGGGAACUGCGUCUGAUACUGGGAGGCUCGAGUAUGGGAGAGGGAUGUAGAAUUCCAGGUGUAGCGGUGAAAUGCGUAGAUAUCUGGAGGAACACCGGUGGCGAAGGCGGCAUCCUGGACCGGUAUUGACGCUGAGGCGCGAAAGCUAGGGGAGCAAACGGG